GAUGAACGCUGGCGGCGUGCCUAAUACAUGCAAGUCGAGCGAACAGACGAGGAGCUUGCCUCUCUGACGUUAGCGGCGGACGGGUGAGUAACACGUGGAUAACCUACCUAUAAGACUGGGAUAACUUCGGGAAACCGGAGCUAAUACCGGACAAUAUAUUGAACCGCAUGGUUCAAUAGUGAAAGACGGUUUUGCUGUUACUUAUAGAUGGAUCCGCGCCGCAUUAGCUAGUUGGUAAGGUAACGGCUUACCAAGGCGACGAUGCGUAGCCGACCUGAGAGGGUGAUCGGCCACACUAGAACUGAGACGCGGUCCAGACUCCUACGGGAGGCAGCAGUAGGGAAUCUUCCGCAAGGGGCGAAAGCCUGACGGAGCAACGCCGCGUGAGUGAUGAAGGUCUUCGGAUCGUGAAACUCUGUUAUUAGGGAAGAACAAAUGUGUAAGUAACUAUGCACGUCUUGACGGUACCUAAUCAGAAAGCCACGGCUAACUACGUG
rnacentral:rRNA from 1 species